GACGAACGCUGGCGGCGUGCUUAACACAUGCAAGUCGAACGGAAAGGCCCUGCUUGCAGGGUACUCGAGUGGCGAACGGGUGAGUAACACGUGGGUGAUCUGCCCUGCACUUCGGGAUAAGCCUGGGAAACUGGGUCUAAUACCGGAUAGGAGCCAUUUUUAGUGUGAUGGUUGGAAAGUUUUUUCGGUGUAGGAUGAGCUCGCGGCCUAUCAGCUUGUUGGUGGGGUAAUGGCCUACCAAGGCGGCGGCGGGUAGCCGGCCUGCGAGGGUGGACGGCCACAGUGGGACUGAGAUACGGCCCAGACUCCUACGGGAGGCAGCAGUGGGGAAUAUUGCACAAUGGGCGCAAGCCUGAUGCAGCGACGCCGCGUGGGGGAUGACGGCCUUCGGGUUGUAAACUCCUUUCGCUAGGGACGAAGCUUUUUGUGACGGUACCUAGAUAAGAAGCACCGGCUAACUACGUG
rnacentral:rRNA from 1 species